GACGAACGCUGGCGGCGUGCUUAACACAUGCAAGUCGAACGGUGAAAGCGGAGCUUGCUCCGCUGGAUCAGUGGCGAACGGGUGAGUAACACGUGGGCAACCUGCCCCUCAUUUCGGGAUAACUCCGGGAAACCGGGGCUAAUACCGGAUAUGACCUCCUUGGGCAUCCUUGGAGGUGGAAAGUUUUUCGGUGAGGGAUGGGCCCGCGGCCUAUCAGCUUGUUGGUGAGGUAGUGGCUCACCAAGGCGACGACGGGUAGCCGGCCUGAGAGGGCGACCGGCCACACUGGGACUGAGACACGGCCCAGACUCCUACGGGAGGCAACAGUGGGGAAUAUUGCGCAAUGGGCGAAAGCCUGACGCAGCAACGCCGCGUGCGGGAUGACGGCCUUCGGGUUGUAAACCGCUUUCAGCAGGGAAGAAGCCGCAAGGUGACGGUACCUGCAGAAGAAGCACCGGCUAACUACGUGCCAGCAGCCGCAGUAAUAC
rnacentral:rRNA from 1 species